UCUAAUCUACUCCUCUUGAAUAUUAGUUUGAUUAAUUAAUUGUUAUGCGACUUGCUUAGCCUACCCUUAACCCGAUCCCUCGGCGAAAAGAGCCUAAUAUUAACUACUGGCUUGCUAUCCCUAGCCUCCCCUAGUAAUUAAUACCGCAUUAUAAAUAGAAGUUAGCGCAAUUGAUCGUCCUACCCCUAUCCCUAGGUGGUAUUGCAAAAUCAAGAAAUUACUCACCAGUUCAUGUCAUUANUGUACGUCCCCAUAUCAAUAAAGAAAAACAUCAGUAACCGAAUGAGUUAAACGAUAAAGGCCUUAAGCAUAGAUGAUAACCCAACAAUUAUCAAUCAAAACAUAUGGAGACCAUAUAAAUAAUCAAGAGUUUCAAUAAAAGAGAGUAUCAAAAGACUACAUUGUUUCCCCC
rnacentral:lncRNA from 1 species